rfam:Candida maltosa Xu316 contig2617_scaffold56, whole genome shotgun sequence.
GAUACAAUGGCCGAGUGGUUAAGGCGAAGGAUGCAGGUUUUUCGUGGUAAACGAAAGUCAACUUCCUUUGGGCAUUGCCCGCGCAGGUUCGAACCCUGCUUGUGUCG